CGACCCAUGCUUAGAUAUCAAGUUUUGAACUUAGAUAUAGAUUUGAUCUACUACUUACAUCUAUAUAUACGAUUUUAUUUUCAAAUUUUAUAUAUGUCAUGUAUCAUAUCAUAGAUCCUAGAAUAAAUUGAUUUAAUGAUUAGAUCAUAUGCAUGUUUGAUUAAUAUGAUUAAUCUAGUUGCUUUCCACUAUGAUUUAUUUUGAAAAAUUUUUGAAAUACAUGCAUAAUAUCGCCUACGAUUUCC
rnacentral:lncRNA from 1 species